rnacentral:rRNA from 1 species
UAUUAGUCAAUGCUCGAAAGAGUGAACUAGCUAACUGAAAUCAAUUAUAAAAAUUGAUAACAUAAGGGAAAAUAAUGAUAUAACCUUAUUAUUAGUGUCGUCCAAAUCUGGUGCCAGAAGACUCGGUAAGGCCAGAGACACGAACGUUAAUCGUCUUAAUCAGGCGUAAAGGGUUUGUAGGCAGCUUUAAAUUUACUUUAUAAAAUUUAAUAAAUAAAAUAAGUAAAAAAUAAAAGCUAGAAUCAAAUAGAGGAUAUAUAAAAUAAUGUUUAGAGUAGGUCUGAUAUCCUUAGAUACUAAGUAGAAUAUUAAAGGCGAAAGCUUUUUUCCAUUAAUGAUUGACGCUCAGAAACGAAGGUGAGGAUAGGAAAUAGGAUUAGAUACCCAAAAUACCCCUCUCUGUCAACGAUGAAUGGUAGUUAUUAGUAAUAAAUUUAUUAAUGUCAAUGUUAACACGAUAACCAUUCCGCCUUGUGAGUACAACUGCAAAGUUGAAAACAAAAAAAUUAGUCGGUUUCGGAGCAAACGAAGUGAAGCAUGUUAUUUAAUUC